rnacentral:rRNA from 1 species
CGGGACGGGUGAGUAAUGUCUGGGAAACUGCCUGAUGGAGGGGGGUAACUACUGGAAACGGUAGCUAAUACCGCAUAACGUCGCAAGACCAAAGAGGGGGACCUUCGGGCCUCUUGCCAUCGGAUGUGCCCAGAUGGGAUUAGCUAGUAGGUGGGGUAACGGCUCACCUAGGCGACGAUCCCUAGCUGGUCUGAGAGGAUGACCAGCCACAUGGAACUGAGACACGGUCCAG